AAACUGCACUCUUGUUUAGAGUUGCAGUUCCUUCUCAAACCUGAGAGGCAGAGAUGCACUAAAGCAGUAUGUAGCCUGCAAAAAAAAAGGCGCGAAGAAGAAGAAGUUUGAGCAGGUGAACCUACAGGUGAAACAAACUGUUUUUCUACAGUCAGUCUAUGGAAGCAACACGUCUCUGGAGCGUCGUCGUGAAAGAUGUGACAUGGGUGAUUUUAUCAAAGUGUUUGCAAGCAAACACAAGAACAGGCGAAUUGCACUGUUUUAACCCUCCUGUUUUCCUCAGGUCAAGGAAGGAAGGAAGAAGGGAGGGAGGAAGGAAG